rnacentral:ncRNA from 2 species
CACUGUGACACGGGGUGCCCCUCCUCAUGAGGGGCUGAGAUGACACCCGUAGAACCUGAUCUAGUUAGAACUAGCGAAGGGAUGUCUCGCGUGACGACC